AACGUAGGAGGCAAACGUUAUCCGGAGUUACUGGGCGUAAAGGGCGUGUAGGUGGUUGCGUAAGUCUGGCGUGAAAUUUUUCGGCUUAACCGGGAAAGGGCGUCGGAUACUGCGUAGCUAGAGGACGGUAGAGGCGUGUGGAAUUCCGGGUGUAGUGGUGAAAUGCGUAGAGAUCCGGAGGAACACCAGUGGCGAAGGCGACGCGCUGGGCCGAACCUGACACUGAUGCGCGAAAGCCUGGGGAGCAAACAGG
rnacentral:rRNA from 1 species